ACGGCUGCUGCACAGCUGCAGGGCUGCAGGAGAGCAGAGGCUGGAGUGGUAGCAGUGCCUAGGAUGGAGACUGAGACGGCUGCGGGGGACAGAGAGGCCCAUGGGCAGAGACCGGCUUGCUGCCUGCAGACUCACUCUGACUGGACGGGAUUCUAGUGACUGACCGGCCACCAAUGGAAUAAUGUCGGCUUGUCCGGGGUGAUCAUGCCCUCUGGCAAGAGGAUCUGAAUUCCUCCUGCAUUUGGCAAGUCCUACUGCCCCAACCUGCUCACCUUUUGAAGGCCCAGCAUGUCAGCCAUCUGAGGACCUGGAGGCUGGUGCCAGCCUCAGAGCAGAAGCGUUGUGCCCCGAGUGGGACACAGCCCCAUGGGUGGGACCUUGGCUGCAGAGAGACCGAGCCCGAUGCCCACCCUGGCCCUCGCUCUUCAAGGCCCCCUCAUCCAGGCUCACUCUUCCACGCCCUCCUCAGGUUUCCUGGGGUUGUCUGCAAACACACCACUUGCUCCCAAUCGCCCCCAACUCCUCGCCUGCUUUGGGGACUUGACAUCUGCAGAGGUUCCACACUGGCUGUGACUUUGCACAGAUUGUCCAGCCUUCUUCUGGACUUGAGCAUCAUCUGGCAGAUGGAGGCAGAAGACCCGGCUCAUGGUCAUCAGGGGAGAUAUGGUCCAGGA